rnacentral:tRNA from 1 species
UUGAUUGAAGCUAAAGUUGGAAGCAUCUCACUGUUAAUGGGAUUUAGAAAUUUAUUUCCAAUCAAG